AUCCAGGACUGUAACAACAGGAUUGUUGCCUCCUUCAGCUCCAAUAUUUGUCUCUCCUUUUUCCGUUGCCUCAAGGCCUUGUUUCGAAGAUUUCUUCUCCUUCUUCCUGCUGAUUCUUCUUUUCGCUUUGCGUUUAGAUUCAGACUCAUCCAGCACACGGAAUAUUUCCACUGUCUUCCCUGCAACUUGACAAGCCAGCAGAUUUCCAGACUUGUUAAACCUCACUGUUGCAACUCUAUCCUUGCUUUGACGCUGAAUUUCACCAAAUGACUUCAGUACUUCCCAUUUAUUUUCAGCAGGCAAGUCCUUUACAUCUGUUUCAUUUUUGUUAGCAAUCAAUUGUCCAUCAGCUAACUCAUGCUUUAUAGCAUAAAAACGAAGUUCAGGGUCGGCAGAACCGGUGACCAGAAAUCUUUCCUCGGGGUCAAUAUCUAUGGACCAUAUUUCAGUAUGAUGGCCACUUAUUAUCUGCAUGCAAUGUUGAGUAUCAAGAUCCCACACCCUCAAAAACUUGUCUUUAGAAGCCGUUACCAGUUUUUUAUCAAAAUCUAAG
rnacentral:misc_RNA from 1 species